rnacentral:rRNA from 1 species
CCCUUGUCCUUAGUUACCAGCACGUUAUGGUGGGCGACUCUAAGGAGACUGCCGGUGACAAACCGGAGGAAGGUGGGGAUGACGUCAAGUCAUCAUGGCCCUUACGGCCUGGGCUACACACGUGCUACAAUGGUCGGUACAAAGGGUUGCCAAGCCGCGAGGUGGAGCUAAUCCCAUAAAACCGAUCGUAGUCCGGAUCGCAGUCUGCAACUCGACUGCGUGAAGUCGGAAUCGCUAGUAAUCGUGAAUCAGAAUGUCACGGUGAAUACGUUCCCGGGCCUU